GAGCAGCAGUGGGGAAUAUUGCACAAUGGGCGCAAGCCUGAUGCAGCCAUGCCGCGUGUAUGAAGAAGGCCUUCGGGUUGUAAAGUACUUUCAGCAGUGAGGAAGGUGGUGUGCUUAAUACGUGCAUCAUUUGACGUUAGCUGCAGAAGAAGCACCGGCUAACUCCGUGCCAGCAGCCGCGGUAAUACGGAGGGUGCGAGCGUUAAUCGGAAUUACUGGGCGUAAAGCGCAUGCAGGUGGUUUGUUAAGUCAGAUGUGAAAGCCCGGGGCUCAACCUCGGAAUUGCAUUUGAAACUGGCAGACUAGAGUACUGUAGAGGGGGGUAGAAUUUCAGGUGUAGCGGUGAAAUGCGUAGAGAUCUGAAGGAAUACCGGUGGCGAAGGCGGCCCCCUGGACAGAUACUGACACUCAGAUGCGAAAGCGUGGGGAGCAAACAGGAUUAGAUACCCUGGUAGUCCACGCCGUAAACGAUGUCUACUUGGAGGUUGUGGCCUUGAGCCGUGGCUUUCGGAGCUAACGCGUUAAGUAGACCGCCUGGGGGAGUACGGUCGCAAGAUUAAAACUCAAAUGAAUUGACGGGGGCCCGCACAAGCGGUGGAGCAUGUGGUUUAAUUCGAUGCAACGCGAAGAACCUUACCUACUCUUGACAUCCAUAGAACUUUCCAGAGAUGGAUUGGUGCCUUCGGGAACUAUGAGA
rnacentral:rRNA from 1 species